rnacentral:rRNA from 1 species
AGUGAACGCUGGCGGUAGGCCUAACACAUGCAAGUCGAACGGCAGCACAGUAAGAGCUUGCUCUUACGGGUGGCGAGUGGCGGACGGGUGAGGAAUACAUCGGAAUCUACUUUUUCGUGGGGGAUAACGUAGGGAAACUUACGCUAAUACCGCAUACGACCUACGGGUGAAAGCAGGGGAUCUUCGGACCUUGCGCGAUUGAAUGAGCCGAUGUCGGAUUAGCUAGUUGGCGGGGUAAAGGCCCACCAAGGCGACGAUCCGUAGCUGGUCUGAGAGGAUGAUCAGCCACACUGGAACUGAGACACGGUCCAGACUCCUACGGGAGGCAGCAGUGGGGAAUAUUGGACAAAGGGCGCAAGCCUGAUCCAGCCAUACCGCGUGGGUGAAGAAGGCCUUCGGGUUGUAAAGCCCUUUUGUUGGGAAAGAAAAGCAGCAGGUUAAUACCCCGCUGUGCUGACGGUACCCAAAGAAUAAGCACCGGCUAACCUCGUG